rnacentral:tRNA from 1 species
GGGCCCGUAGCUCAGUUGGUUAGAGCACACGCUUGAUAAGCGUGGGGUCGGAAGUUCAAGUCUUCCCGGGCCCACCAUUUGCAUCUGCGAAUGAGGGUUUGGGGUGAGACUAAUCGUCGAUGCGAAUUGUUGCCGCGCCUGGUUGAUGAGACCUGGGUGAUCGAGCUGGAUGGGGCUGUAGCUCAGCUGGGAGAGCACCUGCUUUGCAAGCAGGGGGUCAGCGGUUCGAUCCCGCUCAGCUCCACCAUUUGUUUUGUCCUGACGCUGUCGCGAUCUAACGAUCGCUGCGCUCCGGACGGGCCGCGCCACGAGGCGCGACGGACUAUCGUCCUGUAUGGGCGAAUUGAUCUGACGGCUGCGAAUUGUCUUCUGAAGAAAUAAAAGUUUGCAUCGUUCUGCUAAGGAUUGAUGCCUGUUCUGAAUACAUUGUGAAGAGAAGAUAUGUCUGGAAGCGUCCAGGUGUUUUGGGUUUAGGCCCGAGACGUCCGAGACCAGUCCUUGUGAAACCGUGUGAUGGCUUAGUCGGCCGGAAUUGGUGGAGGGGUUGGAGGUAAGGAAGGAUCGCUUGUCCUGGGCAUUUUUGUUGUUGGAACUUCGGUUCCUCUGAUGGGAAUGCUGGAUUGAUGUUGCCUGACCGCGCAUCACCGGAUGAUAUCUCGAGAAGCUGGUCUUAAUGGUAUGGCUUCGAGGUGCACCGGCGUGCCCUCAAAGAAGACCGUACCGACACGUCGAUGUCAUCGUUGGUGUUGCGGUUGUAAAAGGUAACCGUAACCGUUGUUCCUCUCUUUAUCGUUAGGGAUGGAAUGGCUUUCGCGGCAGAUUGAGUUUUGCCCGGAUGGCCCGAUUUGGCACCCCUUUGAGCGCAAGCGAGAAGGAAAGGUUCUGCCAAAUCCAACAGAUGAUGAGCAUAGACAAUGAGAAC